UGGCCAAUGGAGUUUGGUAGAGGUGCAGACAGCAGUCGGAGCCCGAAAGCUGGCGCAGGCAAGAAGAACCUCUAGCACAGAUCUAGCUGACUGCGAGGUUGCAGAUUUGGUGGACCAGCACAAUGAGAGCUCGGAGGGGAUUCAUCUUACUCCUGCUUCUGGCUGUCCUCUGUUCCACAGGUGUUAGCCUCAGAUGCUACAACUGUUUAGACCCGGUUUCUUCAUGCAAAACAAACAGCACUUGCUCUCCUAACCUGGAUGCUUGUCUUGUUGCUGUAUCCGGUAAGAGCCUCU
rnacentral:lncRNA from 1 species